UUGAUUCUUAUCUUUAUCUAAGAUCAUCUCCCAUUGACGAUACGCUCAAAUUGAUUUAGCUAUCAGCCCACCAACGACAGAAUCGGUUCAAUCAUUCCCGAGUGUUUGUUAUAACCUUAUUCGAAUCGUGCAAGUCUCGCAGAGUUGAGCCCAUACUUGAAGGAAAAUACUGGAAAAACGUAUUAUAAGGAAAACAAAACGAUGAACGCGGUGAAAGAUGAAACAACAAAGAGGUUGGGAAGUGAUCAAUACAUCCGGCAUCCUGCCAGCACUGGAUUUCCUUGGGAAAGAAUUUCAAUAAAGAGUUUUGAAGGCCAGUUUCUAAGUCUGCACUCGUAAUUUGUGCACAGCUUGUGCGCAAUCGUUUUCACUGAGGUCAGUAUUUCGAGGUCCUUGUGAAACCUCUGUCAUAAUUUGGAAACAAUUCAUCGUAUAAAAAAAAACUUUCGAAAUAAAAUGUCGGUUCGUCGACUUUGUUGACAGUCUUGUA